GACGAACGCUGGCGGCGUGCUUAACACAUGCCAGUCGAACGGAAAGGCCUCUUUCGGGGGGUACUCGAGUGGCGAACGGGUGAGUAACACGUGAGUAACCUGCCCUUGACUUUGGGAUAACUUCAGGAAACUGGGGCUAAUACCGGAUAGGAGCUCCUGCUGCAUGGUGGGGGUUGGAAAGUUUCGGCGGUUGGGGAUGGACUCGCGGCUUAUCAGCUUGUUGGUGGGGUAGUGGCUUACCAAGGCUUUGACGGGUAGCCGGCCUGAGAGGGUGACCGGCCACAUUGGGACUGAGAUACGGCCCAGACUCCUACGGGAGGCAGCAGGGGGGAAUAUUGCACAAUGGGUGGAAGCCUGAUGCAGCAACGCCGUGGGCGGGAGGACGGCCUUCGGGUUGGAAACCGCUUUCGCUCAUGACGAAGCUUUGUGUGACGGUAGUGGGUAAAGAAGCACCGGCUAACUACGUG
rnacentral:rRNA from 1 species